UUGCUGGUCAGGAUAUCUGGUGUUUGAUAUAAACAGCUGCUUUAUAUUGGUUUUCAUGUUUUUUUUCUCUCCCUAUGCAGCGUAGCCCUGAGGUGAGGUGUGUUUCCAAAGCAACCACAAUCAAGAAUUUUCCUCCUCCUUUCUUUUUUUUCCUCUAAGUAUUUUUGUCCCCUGUCUGUAUACAGACAAAGCCUGGAUGGACUCAGGUGCUGGAAAGGAAGACCAAUGUCUCUUCGCCCCUCAAAUAGCCCAGACCUUUCUUCUUGAAAGCUCACAGGUCUGAACAUCAGAAAAAUUUAGAGGUGAAAAUUUUCACAUUAGUAACAUUUUGCUGCAGAACUUCUCUCAGAUGUACAUGAAAUAUGAAUAAUUUUGGCACCUUAAAUGAAAGAUUUUACAGCAGGACAAAGUGAUUUUGGGUAUCAGAAUGUCGGCGAGAGAUUAAAAAACAUCAGCAUGAGUUUCUCAGCUACUCAUUACCUGACCAAGAAGAAUAUGACCUAUGCUCCAGUGGAGGUCUCCGUUAAUCCCCGGCCUUGGGAACUCCAGACUGUUCUUAUUGUUGGCAUUUUUGGAAUGGUGUGUUUGCUUCAUUUAAUGGCAUUCCUGUUUAGCCUCCACUUCCAGCACCAAAGCAACGGUGACCCCAAAUCUUUUGCAUGUUCCCUCUCAGAGCCAAAGGAAAGCAAAGAAGACAUCAUGUUCCUUAAAUUGUAACAAUGACCUCUACCACUGCUCACAAAAUAAAAUGAUACCCCUAAGAAUUUA